rnacentral:pre_miRNA from 1 species
AUAAUUGUCAUCUUGGAAUCUUGUUAAAUGACAGAUUUUAAGCCUGGGCAAGGCCUCAGAAUCUUUAUUUCUAACAAAUUCUUAGGGACUGAAGU